UUGGAGGGCAAGUCUGGUGCCAGCAGCCGCGGUAAUUCCAGCUCCAAUAGUGUAUAUUAAAGUUGUUGCAGUUAAAAAGCUCGUAGUUGAAUUUCGGGAUCAAUAUUUCGGUCAUGCCGUUGGUAUGCACUGUUAUCAUUGAUUUCUCACCUUCUAAAGAACCGUAAUGCCAUUAAUUUGGUGUUACGGGGAAUUAGGACUGUUACCUUGAAAAAAUUAGAGUGUUUAAAGCAGGCUCACGCUUGAAUACAUUAGCAUGGAAUAAUGAAAUAGGACAUCCGAUUCUAUUUUGUUGGUUUCUAGGAUCGAUGUAAUGAUUAAUAGGGAUAGUUGGGGGCAUUAGUAUUCAAUUGUCAGAGGUGAAAUUCUUGGAUUUAUUGAAGACUAACUACUGCGAAAGCAUUUGCCAAGGAUGUUUUCAUUAAUCAAGAACGAAAGUUAGGGGAUCGAAGACGAUCAGAUACCGUCGUAGUCUUAACCAUAAACUAUGCCGACUAGGGAUCGGAUGAUGUUAAUUUUUUAAUGACUCAUUCGGCGCCUUACGGGAAACGU
rnacentral:rRNA from 1 species